rnacentral:ncRNA from 2 species
GGUCAUGAGUGCCAGCGUCAAGCCCCGGUUUGCUGGCCGGCAACCCUCCUCCGCGGUGGGGUGCCCCGGGUGAGGACCUGGUCCUCCCGCGAGGUGCGGGACGGGCAAGCGCGGACC